AGUUCCUCAAGGAGCUUUUGGUCAACCUCUGGAGCAACCAUUUCUUCAGGCUGGCUACUGGCGCUCACAUCAACAGGCUCAUCGACAUCCAUUGGUGCCUUUGGAACCUCUAGACUGAUUGGUUUUGUUGCCUCAGAAGUCUUAUCCACAAACUCUGUAUGUCCAGUUCUCUUUGUGUGCAGAUCACUUUCUGUUUUGGAUCGGCAAGGUUUUCCGCAAGUAGUGCAGACAAGAUUGAGCACGGCCUCCGUGGACUCGGAGAAGUUGGAGUGAGAGGUCAGCUCGGCGUGCUCCUGAGCCUCCUGCACGGACUUCAAUAGGGCUCCACAGUCCCCGCACUUCAACGACACUCCAGCCAUUGAUUGAUCGAUCGAUCAGUCCGUCGAUAUGACAAGUGAGAAGAGAUUUGAAGUGGAGAACUUGAGGAGAAUCCUUGCAGUGUUGGGGUUGAUUCACUGCCUGGAAAUUAUUGGCU
rnacentral:misc_RNA from 1 species